rnacentral:rRNA from 1 species
UACAGAGGGUGCAAGCGUUAAUCGGAAUUACUGGGCGUAAAGCGCGCGUAGGUGGUUUGUUAAGUUGGAUGUGAAAUCCCCGGGCUCAACCUGGGAACUGCAUUCAAAACUGACAAGCUAGAGUAUGGUAGAGGGUGGUGGAAUUUCCUGUGUAGCGGUGAAAUGCGUAGAUAUAGGAAGGAACACCAGUGGCGAAGGCGACCACCUGGACUGAUACUGACACUGAGGUGCGAAAGCGUGGGGAGCAACAGG